rnacentral:rRNA from 1 species
AUGGAGGUGACAAGGAAUCUAUAUUGCUCUGUAGAUGACGACAUUGUGCAUUGCAAUAUAUAUUGCCCUGUAGAAAAAUACAUUUAUGUGGAGUAUGCUUCAGGUAAUUCACCAAUGCAUUUGUUUCAUCAUUUCUUUUUGACUAUUAACUGCGUGAGCAAGUGUCUAAUAAUAGAAAAGUUCCCCAUUGGGUCGCUACUACAACUAAAUGGGCUUGUGAAUAGUUGUAGAACGUACUCUAUUUUGUUCCCCAUUGAAGGGCAAUGUUCCUGUUGGUCUCUCGAAAGAACUGAAAGAAAUGCAGCCUUGACAAUUGAAUGCCCACAUUCCUUGUUGGAGAUCAUAGAGCUAUAUACAUUCAUGAGUUAUUAUGUUGAUGCACACUGCAUUGCAUUUACUAAACUUGUUUUCUUCUUACCAGAUUCAGUGGUAAUGUAA